rnacentral:rRNA from 1 species
AUGGCGCCACCUCUCUCCUGCCCUUCUUCCUAUGGCGUCGCCCUUCUCCUCCACUUCCUCCCCAUAGUCGAUGUUGCUGAUGUGGAUGGUGGGGCCAAGGGCGACGGACUGGCUGGUGUCCAGGGCGGCGUGUGCGGUGUGGCCAAGAACGACGGCCAGCACACCACGGCAUCCUCCCCAAUCGUCACGCUGCUCCCUCCCCUACCGGAUCCAAUCUCGGGUCAACGCCAUCAUACGAGACCAAAAAUGGUUGUAGAAGGACUGAAGGAGAUGCAGCUCCUACAAGGAGAGGUUAUGGGGGUGGGGGAGCUGCUGUAA